UGUUAACACACAGAGAUGUUUUGUCCUGGAGACCUGCCAGGAGUGAGUUGCAGUGUUCCAGUCUUGAAAUUAGGGGCUGAACCUCUUCAGCAGAGAAUGCUGGACUAUAUGUAGAUGAAAUGUUCUAGUACAUCUGUAGAAAAUUGAAUGACCAAUUACGAUUUCAAAAUUUGUGGUGAUGAAGCAAAACAAAAUAGACAAAAAGAAAAACCAAAAGAUAGAAUGAACAAAAGAAAAACCACACAGCUAUUUGUUCAUAUUGAAACCAACAUAAGCAGAAAGUACAUAUUUGUGUAGCAUGUCUUAGUAUGCUGUAGCUUCAAGGUGUCAUUUCACUGGAACUACAGGGCCUAGCCCAAACCUGUCCCAGCAUGACAGUGCCACAGUGCGCAAAGCGAACUCCAUAAAGACAUGGUUUGCUAAGGUUGUUGUGGAAGAACUCAAGUGGCCUGCACAGAGCUCAGACUUCAACCCCACUGAACACCUUCGAGACGAACUAGAACACUGACUAUGAGCAAGGUCUUCUCGCCCAACAUCAGUUUCCAACUUCACUAAUGCUCUUGUGGCUGAAUGGGAAAUUCCCACACCCAUGUUUCAAAAUCUAGUGGAAAGCUUUCCCAAAAGAGUGCUUUGGAAUGGGAUGUUCAACAAGCACAUGUUGGCAAGCUAGAGGCUUCAGAGACUUUAAGGAAACAAGAAGAGAAGGCAACAGAGGCACAGCCGAUUGUAUAUGGAUCAACCCAGCUAAUGCUGACUGCAGGCACAAAUGUGCCCGUUCCUCGACAGCAGAACCACACCAUCACAAUUAUUGGCAAACGAGAAUACAGUUUGUGCAAACAGCACUGAGUAUUCUCCUAUAAUGCUUGAAUGCUUGGAGAGGAAGACCACUCCUCAAUACAGAAUCUCUCCACAUCCCCCAGUAUCCUAGGUACUCUCUUCUGUGUUCUCCUCUGCAGCUUACCUCACAAGUUUUCUGUGGGCUUUAGAUCAGGGGACAUUGCCAUGUUGAAAUCUUGAUUUUGUGGUCAUGGGCAACCUUUUUUGUGUAGAUUAGAACACAGGUUAUGGAUCAUUGUCCUGCUGGAAGAUCCAACCAUGACCAGUUGUAGCUUCUUGCCAAAGAUAGUCAUUGCCUGGUUUAUGAAGGUCAACACACUUUUGCCUCACUGAUUGCAGUGACAUUCAUAGCUUAUUAUUCUCUGUGUAUCUGCUUUCAGGUUGUCCUGCAACUCUUUUGGAGUGACUGCUCAAUUCUCUCUUUCCUUCCUUAUUAUUAUUAGUCUUAGAACACGUUGUGAAAUCUUCAUGGCUCUUUAGUCUUUGGAUGAUUAGCUGUGGUUCCAUGAACUUUCCAUCUGCAUAAUCGAACCAAUUUUAUUGACAUGGAUGUCUUUGGUAUGGCUCCAUAGUUUUUUCCAUUCAAAUGUUUAAUAAUGCUGUCCCUGAGAACUUUAGGAAGCUCAUUAUUAAGUAACACCAUGAUUGCUGCUUGUUUGAAAUCUUCCCAAACACUGGCAACAUUUUUUAUGACACCAGGUACAAUUUGCAUGAGCCUCAAUUCUUCAUGGCAUGGAUUCCACAAGAUGUUAGAAACAUUCCUUUGAAUUAGUGCUGUCUUAUUAUUAUUAUUAUCAUUAUUAUUACAUCACUAAAUAUUUUUAUUAGCAUAGAGGUGAGUCAAAAGAACUUCCAUUUCUUCCUUUCAGCCUUUACCCAGAUGGUUCAUUUCAUGCUCUCCGCUGCCUGUGCACUUGAACUUUUAUGGGGCAUUGUGGGUGUCAUAACAGUCAAAUGAGCUGUGUCGGGAAUGCGAUUUACACUUUAAAUGUUGCAAGUACGUAGAAAAUCAGUGUUUCCACAACUUUUGUAAAUCAGUUGGAAAUUUUUAGUUUGGUUUGGCUUACACAAACAUUUACACACUACUUAAAAAACUGAUAAAAGAAGACCAGUGAGUGGUCUUUAGAUCAAAUAACAUGUUAAACAAAAAAAAAACAGUAUUUUUUCAUGUUGCUCCAGCUACAUACUCCACAUACUCCACAUGCACAUACUCCAUAAUUAAACAAAGCAAAGGGGCCUAUAGAGCAGGCAUUUUCUGAUAGCGUUUUAGCCAACAAGGUAAAUUGGUCCUUUUUUAUUGUAGGGCUUGGAACAUAACACAGCUGGCAUUUUGAGCCUUACACACUGCCCCAUUCACAUUUUAAGCAGUGGGGUGACUACUCAAACCCCAGUGAAAAAGGAAGUCAUGGAUGACCUCUUAAGAACUCCUGAACACUCAGGUGAACUUAAAAUUAAAAUAUAAAUGGGAACAUGCUUUUGUGACAUUCUGUCCAUAAGAAUUUUUAGGACUGCCAAUAAUUGACACAAAUAUUUUUAUUAAGGUUUUUUGUUUUCUUAGAAUACCUUUCCUUUAUUUAAAGGUCUGGUUUUUUUUUGUGUGUUUUUUUUAAAAAUAUUUUUAGCAUGAGACUAAACUAAUUAACAAUAAAGACAUGUAUUCAUAAACUUCAUAACCAAUGGUAAAGAUACCAAGCUACCAUUCUGGGGCUGACUUUGUUUUACUGUGGUCCCUCUCAUGUUGCUUUAUGUGUUUGUAGAAGCUGGCUUUUGUGUUUAGGUUACCUCUUUUGAGUGUACAAAUGAAAUCCAAUACUGUUGAUGCAACUUCCUUAACAAAUGAAAUAUAUUUAUACACUACAUUAAUAUUGUGUUUAUUAGAUCUGAAUUGUGGAUAAUUGGGUGAUUAUAAAUGACACCCCAGAUAUAAAAUAAAAUUUGCUGUAA